UUGCAGGAAGCUGCAGCAUCAGCAGCAACAAAUGGAGAGAGGAGAGUUCUCAACAUGUGGGUAGCCCUACUGGCUUAGAUUCGAGAGACCCUUAUGAUCUCCAGCAUGGAGCAAGGAUGUUUGGAGAUACUCCCAAGACAUUGUGGAGAAGAACUGGAGGAACAAGCUGACUUGCAGCAAGCCAUUGAGCUGCAAGGUCAGAGACUAAUGGGUCUGUAACUUCUUGAUGUGAAAAGGCACAAUCACCACCGUAUGUAUUUAACCUUUUAUGGUAGUGAAACUUUUUAUUCCUUUGUAUAUACUUUUAAAUAUAUUUAACUUUCAUUUAUGAAAUAUAUGACAUUAUUCUAUUCAAUA